GUGGCUGUGGCUCAGUAGCAGAGCACUUGCCUGGCAUGUGUGAGGCACUGAGUUCAAUCCUCAGCACCAUA
rnacentral:tRNA from 1 species